GAUGAACGCUAGCGGCAGGCUUAAUACAUGCAAGUCGAGGGGCAACAGGGGUAGCAAUACCUGCUGGCGACCGGCAAACGGGUGCGGAACACGUACAGAACCUUCCUUUAAGCGGGGGAUAGCCCAUAGAAAUGUGGAUUAAUACCCCAUAGUAAUGUUUAAUGGCAUCAUUAGAUAUUUAAAGAUUUAUCACUUAAAGAUGGCUGUGCGGCUGAUUAGGUAGUUGGUUGAGGUAAUGGCUCACCAAGCCAGCGAUCAGUAACCGGUGUGAGAGCACGACCAGUCACACGGGCACUGAGACACGGGCCCGACUCCUACGGGAGGCAGCAGUAAGGAAUAUUGGUCAAUGGACGCAAGUCUGAACCAGCCAUGCCGCGUGAAGGAU
rnacentral:rRNA from 1 species